UUUAACUGAAGAGUUUGAUCAUGGCUCAGAUUGAACGCUGGCGGCAGGCUUAACACAUGCAAGUCGAGCGGGGAAGGGUAGCUUGCUACCUGACCUAGCGGCGGACGGGUGAGUAAUGCUUAGGAAUCUGCCUAUUAGUGGGGGACAACAUUCCGAAAGGAAUGCUAAUACCGCAUACGCCCUACGGGGGAAAGCAGGGGAUCUUCGGACCUUGCGCUAAUAGAUGAGCCUAAGUCAGAUUAGCUAGUUGGUGGGGUAAAGGCCUACCAAGGCGACGAUCUGUAGCGGGUCUGAGAGGAUGAUCCGCCACACUGGGACUGAGACACGGCCCAGACUCCUACGGGAGGCAGCAGUGGGGAAUAUUGGACAAUGGGCGAAAGCCUGAUCCAGCCAUGCCGCGUGUGUGAAGAAGGCCUUUUGGUUGUAAAGCACUUUAAGCGAGGAGGAGG
rnacentral:rRNA from 1 species